AGCUGACAGGAGCCUUAUCUCCUCGCUCGCACCCAUUUCCUCUCCUACCCAGCUCCGCCAUCGCCACGCACCCAUCUCCUCCCCUGCUCCCAGCCGGCGCCGUCCCGCCCCCAUCUCCCCCCGGGCUUCUGCCGUGCCGCGACGGCCGAUUCGGUGCACAACCGCCGUCAGCCUCCUGUCGCACGACCGCAGCAUCCAUGCCCACCGCCGCUGCUCUCUAUCCCCAACCUCCCACCAUCUCCCCGAGUCCACAAGUCAUCGUCGGGCCAACCCCGCGCGUCGUGUGCCUUCGCCACCCCAUCCGCCACCUCUGACCACCGCCGCCGCUCAUCAAAUGGAAGAUCCACCGUCGCCGCCUACUACGUCGACAGGUUCCUGAUCAUGGUGCUGUAAUUGCGCUCAUCCUCUAUGGGGUCCAUCAGAACUGAACUACAUAUUGUGAAAGGGCCUCAAGACCUUCCGAAAGCUGCACAAACAUGGCGCCAUCGAUCUUGGGGCUGACCAUUCAGAUGGCGGAGAGCCUCAUUAACACGGGCUUCUCCAGCCGUCGGAUGGCCACCCCCCAGCAUUCCUUCGUGCUCAUUGUAGUCACCCGCUCCGAGUCGCUCAACCUCAGGGCGGCCAUCGGUGCCACCAAGCUCGCCAGCACGCUCGUCUCGCUAGACGGCGCCAUGGUGAUCACCUUCUACAUAGGCGUGGUCUUCAGCUUCAUCCAGGUCACCGUGCAGCGCAACCUCACCGGCUAGACCAUCUCCAGCAAGUUCCAGAUCAUCACUUUCAUGUACUCCGUAAGAAACCAACCAACCAUCAUGCUUUUGAAUUGCUUGCUACAUUAUGCACAACAUGGCUUGCCACUGAUCGACUUUGAUUGAUUUUACCUGAAGUCGGGUUGUGGUCGCAUCUGGCAUGUCCUUCGUGAUGAUGCAUUCCUUCGUGAUGCUGACAUGGUGCAUCGACCCAUGACCUAGCCUGGUCAGUGGGAAAUUCUGACCACGCUAACCAGGUCAAGUACAUCAUGCUUGUGCUAAGAUUGACCAAUCCAUGUGGUUGUUCAUUCAUGGAACUAGUGAAUCAAAAAACAAAAUCAUAGAAGACCCAAAACUCAUGGAAUCGACCCAUAGAUUAUAUAAAAUAGCAUGUGGUUGUUGAAAAACAUACUCUGGAUAACUUAUAUAAAAAUAGCAUGGUAAUAUAUGAGCAACAUACUUGAUAACUUAGGUCAAACACCACGGUAACUCUGUCCAAGGAGGGGAACAAGUUGUUGAAAAACAUAGUCCCAGUAACUUAUGUGAAAAUAGCACAGUAAUUUAUGAACCGAUACCCGAUAACAUACAUAAAAACACCGAGGUAACUUUGAACAGUGGAAAAAUGUUAUUGAAAAUAUACCCUUGGUAGCUUUUGUGAAAAUAACAUGAUAAUAUAUGAACCAUAUACCUGAUAACUUAGGUACAAAUACCAUGGUAAAUUUGACCAAGAAGGGGAAAAAGUUCUUGAAAAACAUACUCCUAAUAACUUAUGUGAAAAUAACACGGUAAUGUACGAACCGCAUACCCGAUAAGUAUGUAUAAACACCGUGAGAACUUCGAGCAAGGAGGGGGAAAAGUUAUUGAAAAAUAUACCCCCAGUAAAUUAUGUGAAAAUAGCACGGUAAUACAUGAGCCGCAUACCCUAUAAGUUACUUACAAACACCAUGGUAAAUUUGAUCAAAGGGGAAAAUAUUUAAAAAACAUAUCCCGGUUACUUAUGUGAAAAUAGCACGGUAAUAUACGAACCACAUACCUGAUAACUUACAUAAGACACCACGUUAAAUUUAACCAAGGGUGAAAAAGUUGUUGAAAAAUACCCCUCAUUGACUCCUAUGUAAAUAACAUGGUAAUAUACGACCAACAAAGUUGAUAACUUAGGUGAAAAUAUUGUGGUAAUUUGCAUCUGAAAAGGAGGGAAGGGGAUGAUCAGGUUUGUGAACCGGCGUGAAACGUGCAGAAAAAAUGAUGGAACUAGGGCGUAUAGUCCUAAAACCCGGACAAAUGAGGCCACUGGUUUCGAUUUUCAAUUAUUGAGCGCUGUCUUUUUUUUCAAUCUCGUCUCAAGAAGAUAUGUAACUCCUGUGGAAUCAGCAAAGGGAGCUAGAGCAGCUGGGUGUUGUUGUUACAUUUAGUAUGGUAGGUUGUGGGUUCCAUGUAAAGUAAUUUUUUCAAUUAUGUAUGUAAAGUAAUUUUUAUAAUGAUAUAUUUAGUAUAUUUUGAAAUCCA